rnacentral:rRNA from 1 species
UUCUGGCUCAGGAUGAACGCUAGCGAUAGGCCUAACACAUGCAAGUCGAGGGGCAGCACAUGAGUAGCAAUACGAUGGUCGGCGACCGGCGACACGGGUGAGUAACACGUAUGCAACCUACCUUUAACAGGGGAAUAACCCGUUGAAAAACGGACUAAUACUCCAGUAACACGAGGGGUCCCGCAUGGGAAUAUUUGUUAAAGAUUAAUCGGUUGAAGAUGGGCAUGCGUUCCAUUAGCUUGUUGGUGAGGUAACGGCUCACCAAGGCCACGAUGGAUAGGGGAACUGAGAGGUUUAUCCCCCACACUGGAACUGAGACACGGUCCAGACUCCUACGGGAGGCAGCAGUGAGGAAUAUUGGUCAAUGGAGGCAACUCUGAACCAGCCAAGUCCGCGUGAAGGAUGAAGGUCUUAUGGAUUGUAAACUUCUUUUGCAAGGGAAUAAAGUGGGGGACGUGUCCUCCUUUGCAUGUACCUUGCGAAUAAGGAUCGGCUAACUCCGUGCCAGCCGCCGC